rnacentral:sRNA from 1 species
UGAUAUACGCGUCAUAAGUCAAAUGUGUUAGCAAGCUUGCUUGCGUAACACAGUUUGACUUCAUGACCGUAACAAGAAUGAGUAAAAAAGAUAUGCGAGCGAAGCGAGCAUAUCGAUUUACGAAUUCUUGUAGCCUUGGCAUCAGCCAAGGCGUGUAUCA